rnacentral:rRNA from 1 species
GGGUCAGUAGGUUGGUCGUGCCACCGGUACGUACUGGUCUCACUGAUUCCUCCUUCCUGAAGAACCGUAAUGCCAUUAAUUUGGUGUUGCGGGGAAACAGGACUGUUACUUUGAAAAAAUUCGAGUGUUUAAAGCAAGCUAACGCUUGAAUACAUUAGCAUGGAAUAAUGAAAUAGGACGAUCGAUCCUAUUUUGUCGGUUUCUAGGAUUGACGUA